AAGGCACUUCCUUAAGUGAUCGAGUUCUGCCUGGAGUCGCUCCCUCUCGGAAACAAUCUUCUGUUUCUGGCUCCUCAACUCCUGGAGAGAGAGAUUGAUUCAGAUACUGGGCCUGCUUUUCACAGGAGUGGCUUCACACUUGCAAGGGUCAAGGACAAGUCCCUGCUUUUCUAUGAAGCGUUUUGAGAAUGGAGACCCGGGAGAGCAAGCGGGCAGCCUACAGAAGGGACGGCGCAAGGAGGGGCACUACAAGCAGCCUCCUGCCCCCUCAGAACCCAGACUGAAGUUGGGAAAAGCGCUAACGAAGGCAGCCCUGAACAAGCAACAUCAGGAAACACGAAAGCUGAACCCUCCACCGGAAACACGAACUCUGACAAGUCCUCUGCGGCCAACUCGGCAGGAAUGAGGACCUCUAUUUUGUCCCCAAGGUGCAUAAACCAGAGAAGCGGCUCUCUGUCACUGCCACUCUCUGUUCAAGAGCCCAGCGCUCAAGGAGAGAACUAAACUAUCACAGAAGGUCUGACCAGCUAGGACUACCUAAGGAAUAAGGGACAACAAAAACUGAAAAACGCACCAGGUACCUAAAUAAGUCUAAUAAAAAAGGCCCCGCUCAUGGCAAAAAGCCAGCAAAAGUUACUUAAUGCAAUUUAAUGCCAGAUUCACGGAAUAACAUCAUCAUCAAAAAGAUCCAUUCUCCCCAAAUCUGUAAAUUCAACACAACUGAAAAUUUGCAUAGGGAUUUUCUGGGUGGCGCAAACAAGGCGGCGACCUUGAAAUCCCUGGGAGAAGCCCAAGGGCCAAGAACAGGGGGGCUGUCCGAGAGGUGAGUGCCUGCGGACAGCCGAGAGCAGGGGGCCCACGGGGAGCAGCCAGGAGGAUGCCUAAACCCGCCAGGAAAAGGGGUUGCCCCGGUGGGAACGGUGAAGUCAAAUGAAUUCUAGGCAUAAGAAAUGCGAAACGUGAAUUUAAGAAAAUGGACAGAAUCAUCACAUCCUUGGGGCAGAGAGGGAUUCCCAAACAAGGCACC